ACGUAGGUGGCAAGCGUUGUCCGGAAUUAUUGGGCGUAAAGGGCGCGCAGGCGGUGUCGUAAGUCGGUCUUAAAAGUGCGGGGCUUAACCCCGUGAGGGGACCGAAACUGCGAUGCUAGAGUAUCGGAGAGGAAAGCGGAAUUCCUAGUGUAGCGGUGAAAUGCGUAGAUAUUAGGAGGAACACCAGUGGCGAAAGCGGCUUUCUGGACGACAACUGACGCUGAGGCGCGAAAGCCAGGGGAGCAAACGG
rnacentral:rRNA from 1 species